rnacentral:rRNA from 1 species
UUCGGGAGCCUAUACAGGUGUUGCAUGGCUGUCGUCAGCUCGUGUCGUGAGAUGUUCGGUUAAGUCCGCUAACGAGCGCAACCCUCGUCGUAUGUUAUAUGUGUCAUACGAGACUGCCGGUAAAAGACCGGAGGAAGGUGAGGAUGAUGUCAAGUACAGCAUGACCUUUAUUAUCCAGGGCGUACACACACGCUACAAUGGUCUGUACAAUGGGUAGGCCAAGCCGCGAGGCGGAGGCCAAUCCUGAAAGCAGGCCUCAGUUCAGAUUGCAGUCUGCAACUCGACUGCAUGAAGCCGGAGUUGCUAGUAACCGCAGGUCAGCAAUACUGCGGUGAAUACGUUCCCGGGUCUU